rnacentral:ncRNA from 1 species
AAAAAAUAAAUGUAAGGCCAGUAAGUACCUGUUAUAAUGAAAGUGAGGCCGUAUGGCCAUGUUGGGGUCACCAACAACCGACCUUGAUCUUCGGUGAAAGGUUUGAGUAUGAGCAUAUCCGUUAGGACCCGAAAGAUGGUGAACUAUGCCUGAGCAGGGUGAAGCCAGGGGAAACUCUGGUGGAGGCUCGUAGCGAUACUGACGUGCAAAUCGUUCGUCAGACUUGGGUAUAGGGGCGAAAGACUAAUCGAACCAUCUAGUAGCUGG